AGGUAGCACACGUGCACUCCGGCUUCUGCGCCCCGCCCGCGCCCACCUGCUGGCUGAUUCGCUCCGUUUCGGUAGCC
rnacentral:sRNA from 6 species